UGCUGAUAGGGCAAAUCGACGUGGUUGUCAUCAUGCAGCGAUGUGCUUCGUGUGUUGACAAUUCGGUAAACGCUUGUCUAUCGUUUGCCACAGCUAAGAAUGCCGGUAACGGAUGAAACUGUGCCCCUUGGGUGGCGUUUUUCGUUGGUCUUGGCAAGCUUAUUACCUCGUAUAGAGUGAAUCCAAAUGGGAACUCGAACACAGACUUGCCAGGUGUCUCCCAUUUGAAUAGAAGGGCUCAAUGACCAUCCAGAUGGCAAAAUUGCUUUUAUUUCUUUUAACACUGCUUGGAUUUGCAUAGGUGGGAAAAGUAGUGCUGGAAGUCUUUCCAUUGCCAUUGUUGUUAGGCCGACGGCAAAAUCUUCAAUCGAUUCGUCCAGCCAUGCCAAGGCUGACUUGAUUUCACGAAAGGUGUUUUCAAUGGCUGCUCUGGCUAUUUCAUGUUUUUCAACUUCUUGGCGUUUUGCAGUUCUUCAACGGCGUUCGACGUUGAUUUUGUUUCCCAAAGCGUCUCGUUGAUUAGUGACGCGUGCACUUCCAAUGCGUGAGCGAUUGAAGUGGUUUCUGUUGAUAACUUUUCAACAUGA